UAUUUUCCGUACAUUAUUCUUGAUCAGAAUCACCGUAAAAGGAAAGCAGAGUGGCGGAUUCCGAUUGCUCUGUCAGAACUUCAACUAUGGCCUCAUGGAGUUCGUCUAUUUGCUAAGAGGAGGAAUUCGAAGAGAAUGCGUUUGAUAGUCAAUCUCGACUUUCAAUCGACACUGUUAGAGGCGGUUUCCAUCCUGUCGCAGUGCUAUGCCAGCUUAAGCUGCUGCGCCAAGAAUUUGGGUUUUCAAUCUUUCUCCCUAAGAAGGUUGAAGAUUGAUUACUGGAAACUCUGAUGGAGAUGAGAUUUAGUGGAAAGGCAAGAAUUUAAUGGUGCUAUACAGUGGAAGCUACCCUACGGGUGACUUGGAAAGAGAGGAACCUUAGAAUGUCUGAGGAUAAGUUAAGUUCAGAGGAUUCUUUUAUUUAUAGUAUAUAACACAGCCUCGUGGUGGAACUCAGGUCACAAAGAGUUUUAGUAUAAUUAUACCCUUAUCAUGACUAUUAGAAAUUGGAAGGCCUUUUUGGGUUAGUCUUUUGUUGGGAGGAGUUCCCUCUACCCCUUGCCCUUUGGCUAUCUUCUCUUUCUUUUGUGUAUAAUAUCCUUAUCUUAGUUUCUUAUCCCCAAAAAAAAAAAAAAAAAGUCUUGAUUGUCACCUUCUGAUCUAUGCAUAUCAGCUUAUGUGGUGAGUUUUUGCCUCUAAAUGUUGUAGAAUCAAAUUGCACUUAUGAAAUCAGUCGUGUUGCAUAUAAGCCAAUCCAAACACCUAGCCAUUAUAAUAAUGCUAUACAUACAUAAAACACUGUAAUCACGAUGCUGAUAAUAGUUCUAACAUGAUUAUCUCCCUCUUAUUAUUUAUCGAUUUGCAUCAUGCAACUUGUGCUUUGUAGCAAGUGGUGACAUUUCUGUUACCAUUGCCGCUAUUUUGGUUUCUUACAAAAUAAAUUAUGUU